UGGAGGGUGUACAGAGUAUGGUAAUAUGGCGACAGUGUUGCUUGUGCGCUCGUCACCCCUGCGCCCCCUCAGUGACAGACCCCCACUUUGUUUGGGAUUCAAAUGGAAACGUACACAGAGAAGGUGGGCCCAGUGCCCGGGCAUGAAUCAUGAGGGUCUAGGGCGUGGACUCCAAGCCAUCUUGUGGUUAUGCCAUUCCUCUGUGCCAGCGUAAUCGCGGAGGUGAAUUCCGAGAUGGAUGAACGACCUGGUCAGCAGCUCAGGAGUGACUGGUCUGAGCUGAGUCCUGAAGGGUGGAGCUGGAAAUGCACAGUGGUCUGAACCCACGUCCACUGUCGGGGCCUGGAGCCUUGGGGGCGGGUGUCCCAUCGUAAUGAGGAUGCCCAUGCUGCAGAGGCGGCACUCUGGCAUCAGGGGCUCAGGAGGGACAGGGCCUCGCUCAGCAGGCCCCCAGCCUGCUCCCCAGCCCCUGGGAGGCAGGGGUAUAAGGAAGGCUGCCUCGUCCAGACGCCCAGCAGAGCCUUCCGAC
rnacentral:lncRNA from 1 species